AUGGCGGCCUUACCCACAACACCCCUGUCCCCACGGUCGUCCCUGACGUCUUCUCCGCCCCCUCUUCCACCAGCAACGCCCAGGAGGUCCUCGAGCUCAUCCCCGACGCGUCUCGCGAGGGCGCCCGUCAUCUGUUCGACAGAUGGCUCGAACCAAGUCCUCGCGGGUGUCUUGACUCCACAACCGGUGCGUCCUAUGGGCACGGCAGCCGAUGGCGGCCUCACCGAUGACGCCAGAGUCCCCACGGUCAUCCGCGACUCCUUCUCCUCCACCACUAAGGCCCAGGAGGUCAUCGCGACCCCCCAUGGUGCGUCCCUGGACUCCAUCAACCCGAUGCCCAUGACCUGUUUGACGACUGGCUCGACCCAGGUCGACGCCGUCGCCAACGUCGAUGAGGCCCAAGACGCCGCCACCACCGUCCACCCGGAGCACGCGGACAUCGUCAGCUACACGGAGGUAUCGCAGCUCAUACCGGUGCAGGCAACGCUCUCCAUCGACAUCAGCACCUGCUCUGCCGAGGUCAUUUCCUCAACGGCAACCACCACCGACACCAUCCCCAUGGCAACCAAACCAGCUCCGACCAAGUGCUCGGCAGAAGCUUCUGCCCACGCGAGUGUCUGGGUGCAGCCUCCGAUCGUCACCAUCGACAGUGUCGACGAGACAUAUGACACCACCACCGAACACCUGCACCCGCCUUCCUUCGAACAUCGACCAUGGCCACGGCCUGUACAAGUGCAGAUCAAUCACGCGGGACAUCUCUUCAGGCCAAGUCCGUGGCCGUCGUUCACACCUCUGUCAAACACAACCUACCCGGAAAGGCCAUGUUCAGGUAUACAUCGUCAAUCACAUGGAGGUCCCUGCUUCAGUCCUUGGUUAAUUAGGUUGAUGUUCAGAGAUGUUCCCCUGGAGGAGCCUAUCCAUUGUUUUCCAGCUCCAGAGAUGCAGCUUGAGUGUAAAAUUGGGUUCAGCUAUGGGCUUGUUCUGUCCCUGAUCAGAAAAAUGGCAUCCCCUCAAUCAAACAAGUAUUCAUAUUGA
rnacentral:rRNA from 1 species